GAUAAGUGCAUUUAAAAGUGAGAACAGGUGAGAGAAGCCAGUGGGCUGUGUUCACUUGGUGAUCUGGCCCUCAGGACUCCUUCACUAUGUCACUCUCGAGACCACAGCCCUGGCUCCCCAAAGUGCCUCUACAUUCUCCAGCUUUGUCUUGAUUAAGAAAUAAAGUCCAAAGCAAAUCAGA